rnacentral:rRNA from 1 species
ACUCCCAAACCCCUGUGAACAUACCAUUUGUUGCCUCGGCGGUGCCUGCUUCGGCAGCCCGCCAGAGGACCCAAACCCUUGAUUUUAUACAGUAUCUUCUGAGUAAAUGAUUAAAUAAAUCAAAACUUUCAACAACGGAUCUCUUGGUUCUGGCAUCGAUGAAGAACGCAGCGAAAUGCGAUAAGUAAUGUGAAUUGCAGAAUUCAGUGAAUCAUCGAAUCUUUGAACGCACAUUGCGCCCGCCAGUAUUCUGGCGGGCAUGCCUGUUCGAGCGUCAUUUCAACCCUCAAGCCCCCGGGCUUGGUGUUGGAGAUCGGCGUGCCCUCCGGGGCGCGCCGGCUCCCAAAUAUAGUGGCGGUCUCGCUGUAGCUUCCUCUGCGUAGUAGCACACCUCGCACUGGGAAACAGCGUGGCCACGCCGUUAAACCCCCCACUUCUGAAAGGUUGACCUCGGAUCAGGUAGGAAUACCCGCUGAACUUAAGCA